rnacentral:rRNA from 1 species
GUGGGGAAUCUUGCGCAAUGGGCGAAAGCCUGACGCAGCCAUGCCGCGUGAAUGAUGAAGGUCUUAGGAUUGUAAAAUUCUUUCACCGGGGACGAUAAUGACGGUACCCGGAGAAGAAGCCCCGGCUAACUUCGUGCCAGCAGCCGCGGUAAUACGAAGGGGGCUAGCGUUGCUCGGAAUUACUGGGCGUAAAGGGCGCGUAGGCGGACAGUUUAGUCAGAGGUGAAAGCCCAGGGCUCAACCUUGGAAUUGCAUUUGAUACUGGCUGUCUUGAGUACGGGAGAGGUGAGUGGAACUCCGAGUGUAGAGGUGAAAUUCGUAGAUAUGCGGAAGAACACCAGUGGCGAAGGCGACUCACUGGCCCGUUACUGACGCUGAGGCGCGAAAGCGUGGGGAGCAAACAGGAUUAGAAACCCGAGUAGUCC